UACGUAGGGACCAAGCGUUGUUCGGAUUUACUGGGCGUAAAGGGCGCGUAGGCGGCAAUUCAAGUCAGCUGUGAAAUCUCUGGGCUUAACCCAGAACGGCCAGCUGAUACUGCUUUGCUAGAGUGCAGAAGGGGCAAUCGGAAUUCUUGGUGUAGCGGUGAAAUGCGUAGAUAUCAGGAGGAACACCGGUGGCGAAGGCGGGUCUCUGGGCCGUAACUGACGCUGAGGAGCGAAAGCGUGGGGAGCGAACAGG
rnacentral:rRNA from 1 species